rnacentral:rRNA from 1 species
AUACGUAGGGUGCAAGCGUUAAUCGGAAUUACUGGGCGUAAAGCGCGCGUAGGUGGUUCGUUAAGUUGGAUGUGAAAGCCCCGGGCUCAACCUGGGAACUGCAUCCAAAACUGGCGAGCUAGAGUAUAGCAGAGGGUGGUGGAAUUUCCUGUGUAGCGGUGAAAUGCGUAGAUAUAGGAAGGAACACCAGUGGCGAAGGCGACCACCUGGGCUAACACUGACACUGAGGUGCGAAAGCGUGGGGAGCAAACAGGAUUAGAUCCCCUGGUAGUCCACGCCGUAAACGAUGUCGACUAGCCGUUGGGAUCCUUGAGAUCUUAGUGGCGCAGCUAACGCAUUAAGUCGACCGCCUGGGGAGUACGGCCGCAAGGUUAAAACUCAAAUGAAUUGACGGGG